rnacentral:rRNA from 1 species
CACGGUUGAGUAACGCGUAUCCAACCUGCCCACCACUUGGGGAUAACCUUGCGAAAGUAAGACUAAUACCCAAUGAUAUCUCUAGAAGACAUCUGAAAGAGAUUAAAGAUUUAUCGGUGAUGGAUGGGGAUGCGUCUGAUUAGCUUGUUGGCGGGGUAACGGCCCACCAAGGCUACGAUCAGUAGGGGUUCUGAGAGGAAGGUCCCCCACAUUGGAACUGAGACACGGUCCAAACUCCUACGGGAGGCAGCAGUGAGGAAUAUUGGUCAAUGGACGAGAGUCUGAACCAGCCAAGUAGCGUGCAGGAUGACGGCCCUAUGGGUUGUAAACUGCUUUUAUAAGGGAAUAAAGUGAGUCUCGUGAGACUUUUUGCAUGUACCUUAUGAAUAAGGACCGGCUAAUUCCGUGCCAGCAGCCGCGGUAAUACGGAAGGUCCGGGCGUUAUCCGGAUUUAUUGGGUUUAAAGGGAGCGUAGGCCGGAGAUUAAGCGUGUUGUGAAAUGUAGAUGCUCAACAUCUGCACUGCAGCGCGAACUGGUUUCCUUGAGUACGCACAAAGUAGGCGGAAUUCGUGGUGUAGCGGUGA